GGCUCAGCCUCCUCUGCCCCCUCCGCGCCCGCACUGGGCGGUGUGGUCUGGGCUCAGAGGAGGGUGGGAUUUGGGGCAGCCGAGCCUAGAAGGAGAAAAUUCAAGCCUUCUUCCCCAAACCCAUCCUCCCUGUCUAAUCAUGAGGAAAACAUCAGGCCAAUUCUGAUAAGAGAGCAUCCUGCAGUAUGCCUGAUGAAUUCCUCAAAACUGUCAAGGUCAUCAACAGCAAGGAAAGUCUGAGAAACUGUCAGAGCCAAGAGGAGCCUGAGGAGAUGUGACAACUCAAUGCAAUGUGGAAUCCUGGAUGGGAUUUUUCAUUUUUUUUUUUAAGCUCACAGGAAACAACAUGACCAGGCCCACCUGUGAAUGACUGCAGGAAGGAAGAAAUGAACACAUCCCCUCUGGAGGCUGACCAGAACCAGGAAAUGUUUGACUUUGUUCCCUCCCCUUUUAGUAUAAAAGAAGCCUGAAUUCUAACUCAGGGAAGAUGGUUCUUUGGGACAUAAGUCCACCAUCUUCUUGGUUUCCUAGCUUUCCGAAUAAAGUCACUAUUCCUUGCCCCAGUGACUUGUCUCCCGG